rnacentral:rRNA from 1 species
UACGUAGGGGGCUAGCGUUGUCCGGAUUUAUUGGGCGUAAAGAGCGUGUAGGCGGCCAGGUAGGUCUGCUGUGAAAACUCGAGGCUUAACCUCGAGAUGUCGGCGGAAACCAUCUGGCUAGAGUCCGGAAGAGGAGAGUGGAAUUCCUGGUGUAGCGGUGAAAUGCGCAGAUAUCAGGAAGAACACCCAUGGCGAAGGCGGCUCUCUGGGACGGUACUGACGCUGAGACGCGAAAGCGUGGGGAGCGAACAGG